rnacentral:rRNA from 1 species
GGCGGACGGGUGAGUAAUGCUUGGGAACUUGCCUUUGCGAGGGGGAUAACAGUUGGAAACGACUGCUAAUACCGCAUAAUGUCUUCGGACCAAACGGGGCUUCGGCUCCGGCGCAAAGAGAGGCCCAAGUGAGAUUAGCUAGUUGGUAAGGUAAAGGCUUACCAAGGCGACGAUCUCUAGCUGUUCUGAGAGGAAGAUCAGCCACACUGGGACUGAGACACGGCCCAGACUCCUACGGGAGGCAGCAGUGGGGAAUAUUGCACAAUGGGGGAAACCCUGAUGCAGCCAUGCCGCGUGUGUGAAGAAGGCCUUCGGGUUGUAAAGCACUUUCAGUUGUGAGGAAAAGUUAGUAGUUAAUACCUGCUAGCCGUGACGUUAACAACAGAAGAAGCACCGGCUAACUCCGUGCCAGCAGCCGCGGUAAUACGGAGGGUGCGAGCGUUAAUCGGAAUUACUGGGCGUAAAGCGCACGCAGGCGGUUUGUUAAGCUAGAUGUGAAAGCCCCGGGCUCAACCUGGGAUGGUCAUUUAGAACUGGCAGACUAGAGUCUUGGAGAGGGGAGUGGAAUUCCAGGUGUAGCGGUGAAAUGCGUAGAUAUCUGGAGGAACAUCAGUGGCGAAGGCGACUCCCUGGCCAAAGACUGACGCUCAUGUGCGAAAGUGUGGGUAGCGAACAGGAUUAGAUACCCUGGUAGUCCACACCGUAAACGCUGUCUACUAGCUGUGUGUGUCUUUAAGACG